GACAGAGGAGCCAAGCGUUGUCCGGAUUGACUGGGCGUAAAGCGCACGCAGGCGGUCGCGCGCGUGGGGGUGUGAAAACUGGCGGCUUAACUGCCAGAGGCCAUCCCAUACGGCGCAACUCGAGCCCAUGCAGAGGUCCACGGAAUUGCCGGUGUAGUGGUGAAAAUGCGUAGAGAUCGGCAGGAAACACCCCAGGGGGG
rnacentral:rRNA from 1 species